CCUACGUGAGGCAGCAGUGAGGAAUAUUGGUCAAUGGACGAGAGUCUGAACCAGCCAAGUAGCGUGAAGGAUGACUGCCCUAUGGGUUGUAAACUUCUUUUAUAAAGGAAUAAAACGAGGCACGUGUGCCUUUUUGCAUGUACUUUAUGAAUAAGGAUCGGCUAACUCCGUGCCAGCAGCCGCGGGAAUACGGGGGGUGCAAGCGUUGUCCGGAAUCAUUGGGCGUAAAGAGUUCGCAGGCGGCACGUAAAGUCUGGUGUUAAAGGCAGAGGCUCAACUUCUGUACGGCACUGGAUACUUGCGAGCUAGAAUGCUGUAGAGGUAAAGGGAAUUCCUGGUGUAGCGGUGAAAUGCUUAGAUAUCAGGAGGAACAUCGGUGGCGUAAGCGCUUUACUGGGCCGUAAUUGACGCUGAGGAACGAAAGCCAGGGUAGCAAAUGGGAUUAGAUACCCGGGUAGUC
rnacentral:rRNA from 1 species